rnacentral:pre_miRNA from 7 species
UGCGUGCGGAGCGCCUGUCUCCCAGCCUGAGGUGCAGUGCUGCAUCUCUGGUCAGUUGGGAGUCUGAGAUGAAGCACUGUAGCUCAGGAAGGGAGAAGAUGUCCUGCAGCCGUCA